GGUUCAGGAUGAACGCUAGCUACAGGCUUAACACAUGCAAGUCGAGGGGCAGCAUCAGGUUAGCUUGCUAACCUGGAUGGCGACCGGCGCACGGUGAGUAACGCGUAUCCAACUUCCCCCUGCUCAGGGAUAGCCCGGUGAAAACCGGAUUAAGACCUGAUAGUUUCACUAGAUGGCAUCUGACGGUGAAUAAAGGUUUCGGCAAGGGAUGGGGAUGCGUCUGAUUAGCUUGUUGGCGGGUAACGGCCCACCAAGGCGACGAUCAGUAGGGUUCUGAGAGGAAGGUCCCCCACAUUGGAACUGAGACACGGUCCAAACUCCUACGGGAGGCAGCAGUGAGGAAUAUUGGUCAAUGGGCGGAAGCCUGAACCAGCCAAGUAGCGUGCCAGGAUGACGGCCCUAUGGGUUGUAAACUGCUUUUGUGCGGGAAUAAAGUCAGGGACGCGUCCCUGUUUGCAUGUACCGCAAGAAUAAGGACCGGCUAAUUCCGUGCCAGCCGCCGC
rnacentral:rRNA from 1 species